CGACCCAGACGUAGAUUUGAACACGCAGCCUGCUGAUCUGGGAGUCAGACGCGCUACCGUUGCGCCAUCGAUCC